rnacentral:rRNA from 1 species
UACGUAGGGUGCAAGCGUUAAUCGGAAUUACUGGGCGUAAAGCGUGCGCAGGCGGUUUUUGUAAGUCAGAUGUGAAAAUCCCCGGGCUUAACCUGGGAACUGCGUUUUGAAACUACAAGGCUAGAGUGUGGCAGAGGGGGGUGGAAUUCCACGUGUAGCAGUGAAAUGCGUAGAGAUGUGGAGGAACACCGAUGGCGAAGGCAGCCCCCUGGGUUAACACUGACGCUCAGGCACGAAAGCGUGGGGAGCAACAGG